CAUUGUGCAAGUUUUUGUUUAGUUGAUGUGUGACCUGUUCUGAUUCUGGAUAGUACUAUUGCUUCUGUGGUGUUAAUGUGUUGAUGUUUAAUCCAUGUUUGUUUGAACCAUGGUUUUUGUGUUACCGUUUUGGAGUGUUCAAAGUGAAAUUUUCCUUUUUCUUCAGAUAUACAGUUGUAUUUGUCCUGCCAUAUUUGCCAAAGUUCAUCUUGAAUUACUAUUUGUAGGUCUCCUAAUGUGAGGUUAUUAUUGUCUGUUAUAUUUCUUGUUGUACCUAAUUUAGCUGCGUGAUCUGCUCUGUCGUUUUCCAGUGGUAGUUAUUGAGUGCUGCUAUUUUUUCAAGUACAUUGUUUUUGCUAUUUCUUUUAAUGUGAUGUAUUCCGCUCUUAAUUUGAGUGGUAGUUCACCUGCUUCAAAGAGGACUACGUGGUUAGGCGUGGAUGGGAGUAAUCUCAUGGAAGUACGGAUUGCUAGGUGUUGUAUCGAUUCUAGUUUGGAGAAUAUAGUUUUUGGAGCUGCUGCGGUGAUUGAUAAUCCAUAAUCGAGGUGUGGACGGACUAUUGCAUUUGAGAUCUUUAACGCUUGUUCUGGAACAUUCCGGAAUGUCGUUUGGUAUCUCUGGCUUUGGCGUAGGACUCAGUAAUUUCCGAUUGGAAUCUGCUUCUAUUUGUCUUUUCAUUAUGCUACGUGAGUUAUAUUGAUUUGUCACCGGUUUAUUUAUUUUAAUACGCUUUUCGUCAAAAUUAUCUUCAUAUUUUGGAUCGUUUUCACUUUGGGUAAGCUUACGUUUUUCUUUUAAGAUGGCUUCUGUUCCUACCAAUUCAGGACCAUCGCCAUCUAAAUCCUCUUCAUCUACUAUCAUAUAUUUCAGUUUCCCCUGCACUACGUAAUAUAUUCCAACGAAUAAUAAUUAAUCUAGAAACUUGCCUUAAUAUCUAAUAAAAAACAAUGUUAUGGAGAUUCAGUCUUUUCACUAAUAUAUUCCUUAUUACAGCCACUAUUUUACACCUUCAACUACACUGAAAAUAAUUUGCACGCUAGCAUGAUGUGCAAAGCAUUUGAGCUAUCACUACUUGUGGAACACAUGAAACUCAUGAAAACAUACAUUCAACUCCUAAAAUGAAUGUAAAACCUGUUGAUAUUUAGUGGAAAUCAUGUUACAUUUAUCUAAAAUGCACAUAAAAAUGAUAAGAUAUAUCGUUACCUCCAGAUUCUAUAUGUAUUUCAUAUGAAUGUCACAUUGUUUUUCAUAUAGAUUUCAAUUGAAACACGGUUGACCGAAUCAAGUGUUUUGCACAUACAUUUGUGCUGUAUUCAUUUCCACUUGAAAAUGAAGUGUUUCACACAUGUAGUUCAAUUCAAUAGCAAAACACAUCACAUCCAAAGGAAAAACACAUCAAUGGUAUAUAGAAAAUAAUCUGAUCUUGCAUCUUAGUGAAUUUGCACAUGAAAUCUUGAAACAAAUGGCAUUGGUUUUGUAUUGAAAUGAAAAAGCACAUUAAAUUGAAUUGCUGUUUACAUAUGAAUCGAUCGUACAAAUUUUUAUC